rnacentral:rRNA from 1 species
GCUUGUCUCAAAGAUUAAGCCAUGCAUGUCUAAGAAUAAACCCCAGAAUGGUGAAUCUGCGAAUGGCUCAUUAAAUCAGUUAUUGUUUAUUUGAUGGUACCUUACUACAUGGAUAACCGUAGUAAUUCUAGAGCUAAUACAUGCAUGAACCCCCGACUUUUGAAGGGGUGUAUUUAUUAGAUUGAAACCAAUGCGGGUUCCCCGGUAUUUGGUGAUUCAUAAUAACUUUCGGAUCGACUUCGGUCGAUGCAUCAUUCAAGUUUCUGCCCUAUCAGCUUUGGAUGGUAGGGUAUUGGCCUACCAUGGCUUUAACGGGUAACGGAGAAUUAGGGUUCGAUUCCGGAGAGGGAGCCUGAGAAACGGCUACCACAUCCAAGGAAGGCAGCAGG